AGAUGUUUUGGGACUACAACUCCCAUCAUUCCUGACCACUGGUCCUGUUUGCUAGGGAUGAUGGGAGUUGUAGUCCCAAAACAUCU